rnacentral:lncRNA from 1 species
AUACACAUAGUUGACUUGUGUAUGGGCUACCCUUGGAUUCUUGUUAUUGUAUACUUGUGUUUAGUCCAUAUUUUGUCAAAAGCAAAACAAGGCGAUACAUCACUUUUCAUUGAAAAGAAAAGUGUAGAGCAUGACUGAACUGCUCAUCAUUCUGGGAGUUUCCAUGUAGUGACUGUGCAGUGUGGAAAGUGAGGAAAACCUCCAUUGUGCUGAGGAGAAUACUUCAAUGUCUCUUGUCAUUGUGCUCAUUAAUUCAGCUAAAGGUGGAUUUGACCAAAAUACUUACUGGUUAAAUUUGUGGAGAUGUUGAAAUCAGCUAAGUUUUUAAUUUUGCUUGAAUUUUUAUAAAAUGUUUAACCCAAUGUACCUUUGCAUUGUUUGAUUAAAAUUGCUUUAAAAAAUGUUUCAUUAUUUCAGUAAAAUGUUCAGCUCCCUUUAAAAAUAAAAAAAAGCGCCCUUCAUUUGCUAACAGUUCCAGUACACUCAGGUGAUGAGGCAAUUAACUCUUAGUGCACAUGCCGUCGCAUGGAAAAACUCAAAAGCAUCCAUUGUCAAUAAUUAUCUAAGAGUCUAGUCUGACCUACAAAGUAUUUUCUGUAGAAAUAUACUAUAAAUCUGUACGUGUCCUUUCAAGGUUUUGAAAAACCGAAAAGGAAAAUACGUGCAUUUUGGUCACUAAAUUAUUUCUGUACUGGAGUAUAAAGCAAAUGAGACCAUCAGUGGACAGUAAGUGACUGGUAGUAAAACAGCACACACAGACAGAAGAGAGAUAAUGGGAUAGACCCGGAAGUAGGUGAGCUCAUUCUGCAGGCUCAUCCGAGAUUAUUACCGAUCGUUCUGAAAGCGACAAAGGAUGAAUAAUCUAUAAGCAUUAUACUUAAUGAAAUUUAAAAUAUUUUCUUCUACAAAAAAAUAGUUUAAAACCAUUUUCUUUUGUCAUUAAGAAAUAAUCAGAGCACAAAUUGAUAGCAAACAUGAUGGUUGUUUUUCUAUUCCAUACAAUCAUUAAAGGUUUAUAUAGAACAUGUUA